rnacentral:misc_RNA from 1 species
GAUGAAGAACGUAGCGAAAUGCGAUAAGUAGUGUGAAUUGCAGAAUUCAGUGAAUCAUCGAAUCUUUGAACGCACAUUGCGCCCCUUGGUAUUCCAUGGGGCAUGCCUGUUCGAGCGUCAUUUGUACCUUCAAGCUUUGCUUGGUGUUGGGUGUUUGUCCCUCGGGACUCGCCUUAAAGUCAUUGACAGCCAGUGUUUUGGUUUUGAAGCGCAGCACAAGUCGCGAUUCAAGGCUAUCCGCCCGCUUCCACAAGCCUUUUUCACUUUUGACCUCGGAUCAGGUAGGGAUACCCGCUGAACUUAAGCAUAUCAAUAAGCGGAGGA